rnacentral:lncRNA from 1 species
GUAAUUCUAGGAUGUGGGUGGCUAUUUUCUACCCGUUAAAUAAUGGUACUUUCUCUCUCUAAGAAGCCUUCCAGUUUUAGUGAUAAACAUUAAAUUAUAAGGAAGAGAAAAAUGACAUGUUUAAAGGCUCCAUAGCCACACACACGUACCAACAUCUCCCACUUGACCAUGAAGGCUAGAUAUAUUGAAAUAUCAUAAAGUCUUUACCACUUAAUGAGUUUAAUAUUUAUGAGCAUAUCUUUGUCAUGAGGCUUUUCAUGCUAGUGCGGCUAUAUAUCUCAUAACAAAAAAAUAUCCAAAGUCAUGUCAUGGGUUUUUCAAGCUAAUACGGCUUUUCCUCUCUUGAUCAAGACAUCAAAAAUAUCCCAUUUGGGAGUUCAUGACUUAAAUAUUUCUAAGUCUCAUCAAAGCUAGAUGCUUUGAUAAUAUUUCUUCACUUAAUCCAUUUAUCAAAUGGUCUGCAAUCAUAUCUGAAGAUGGCAAAUAACUUACAGUUAUUUUAUUCUUUUCAAUAAUAUCAUAAAUGUAAUGAUAAUGAAU